rnacentral:rRNA from 1 species
AUGAAGGACACUAUAUCUUGGAAAUUCACUUCCAGUGACGACUAUUCGGCGACUACGACGUACACGGCGCAGUUCGAGGGUCAAGUUCUCAGCUCAACCUCUGCCACAAUCUGGAGGAAUUGGGCUCCCCCAAAAUGCAAAUUCUUCACUUGGCUUAUCAUCAAAAAACGUGUGUGGACGGCAGAUCGGUUACAGCGGCGAUGUUGGCCAAACUGCGGACUUUGCCUCCUGUGCAAACAAGUCCAAGAAUUUGCCGCCCAUCUUCUUUUUCAAUGUAGAUUCACUGCCCGCGUCUGGACCGAGGUGGUCACCUGGCUUGGCAUUCAGGACCACUCACCGCUGACUUGGCGCCACAAAGACACGGUUCAAGAUUGGUGGUUGAAGACGAUCAACACGGGAGGGCAUAUCAAGAAAGCGAUUGGCUCUGUUUUGAUGCUUGCCAUGUGGGAAAUUUGGAAGGAGCGAAACGCGAGAGCUUUUCGCAACACGGCUUCACAGACCACUAUUAUCACUGCCAAGAUCAAAGAGGAGGCCCAUCCUCGGUGUUGGCGGGAGCCAAACACAUGA